rnacentral:lncRNA from 12 species
CUUAUGCACUCAGAACUCACACCAUCAGUCAUGGAAAUUCCUCAGGAGCUCUUGCAGAGCCCUUCUCACACGUCCCUGGGAGGAAUCCUGGCUCUGCCCUGCCUUGCACUGGGGAGUGAUGGGCACCAGCAAGGAGCAGCAUCUUCCAUCUCCAAGAUUUAUUAAAGACUGACAAGCCUUAACACGGGCUUGGCAACUCAGCAGGUAUUUAUGAGCAAUUAUCCAGGCCCCA